AUUGAACGCUGGCGGCAGGCCUAACACAUGCAAGUCGAGCGAGCGGCGGACGGGUGAGUAAUGUAUGGGGACUGCCCGAUAGAGGGGGAUAACUACUGGAAACGGUGGCUAAUACCGCAUACUAUCGGAUAACCCAUAUGGGAUUAGCUAGUAGGUGGGGUAAAGGCUCACCUAGGCGACGAUCUCUAGCUGGUCUGAGAGGAGGAUCAGCGACAGCGGGAGUUGUACACGGGCCAGGCGCCUAUGGAGGGAGCAGGGGGGAAGAUGGCACUAUGGGCGAUAGCCUGAUGAAGCCAAGCCGGGUGUGUGAAGAAGGACUUAGGUUUGCAAAGCACUUUCAGUGUGGAGGCGUUACCCGUAGAAGAAGCCCCGGCUAACUCCGUGCUAGCAGCCGCGGUAAUAC
rnacentral:rRNA from 1 species